rnacentral:rRNA from 1 species
AGAACGAACGCUGGCGGCACGCCUAACACAUGCAAGUCGAGCGCCCAGCAAUGGGAGCGGCGGACGGGUGAGGAACACGUGGGAAUAUGCCUUUCGGUUCGGCACAACUGCGGGAAACUGCAGCUAAUUCCGGAUACGCCCUUACGGGGAAAGAUUUAUCGCCGAAAGAUUAGCCCGCGUCUGAUUAGCUAGUUGGUGAGGUAAUGGCUCACCAAGGCUUCGAUCAGUAGCUGGUUUGAGAGAACGACCAGCCACACUGGGACUGAGACACGGCCCAGACUCCUACGGGAGGCAGCAGUGGGGAAUCUUGGACAAUGGAGGAAACUCUGAUCCAGCGAUGCCGCGUGAGUGAUGAAGGCCUUCGGGUUGUAAAACUCUUUCGACGGGACGAUAAUGACGGUACCCGUAGAAGAAGCUCCGGCUAACUUCGUGCCAGCAGCCGC